AGAUUCAAGUCAACCAUGAAAAUCACUCAUAUAAUCAAAAAGGUUUUCUACAGUGAUGGAUCAACACCAUUACCAAUAAAGAUUUGUUUUGUUUUGUUCAUAAUUUGUCUUUUCAAUGCUAUUUCUGUGACAUCAGUUUUCUCAUAUCUUCCUCACCUUGUCAAGGAUUUUGGAUCCACUGAAGUUGAUGCAGG
rnacentral:lncRNA from 1 species